UAUUUGCACUAUCACUUGACCUCUUAUC
rnacentral:sRNA from 1 species